rnacentral:rRNA from 1 species
CCUACGGGAGGCAGCAGUGAGGAAUAUUGGUCAAUGGCCGAAAGGCUGAACCAGCCAAGUCGCGUGAAGGAAGAAGGCCCUAUGGUUUGUAAACUUCUUUUAUAGGGGAAUAAAGGUAUCCACGUGUGGAUUUUUGCAUGUACCCUAUGAAUAAGCAUCGGCUAACUCCGUGCCAGCAGCCGCGGUAAUACGGAGGAUGCGAGCGUUAUCCGGAUUUAUUGGGUUUAAAGGGAGCGUAGGUUGUUUUUUAAGUCAGCGGUGAAAGUUUGUGGCUCAACCAUAAAAUUGCCGUUGAUACUGGAAGACUUGAGUGUGUUUGAGGUAGGCGGAAUGCGUGGUGUAGCGGUGAAAUGCAUAGAUAUCACGCAGAACUCCGAUUGCGAAGGCAGCUUACUAAGCCAUAACUGACACUGAAGCACGAAAGCGUGGGGAUCAAACAGGAUUAGAUACCCUGGUAGUC